CCUACGGGUGGCAGCAGUGGGGAAUAUUGCACAAUGGGGGAAACCCUGAUGCAGCAACGCCGCGUGAAGGAAGACGGUUUUCGGAUUGUAAACCUCUGUCCGUAGGGAAGAAAAAUGACGGUACUUAAGAAGCAAGCCACGGCUAACGACGUCCCGGCAGCCGCGGUAAUAAGGAGGUGGCAAGCGUUGGCCGGAUUUACUGGGGGUAAGGGGUGCGCAGGGGGGAAGCCAAGUCAGCGGUGAAACCUACGGGCUUAACAUGGAGACUGCAGUUGAAAUUGGUUUUCUGGAGUGAAGGAGAGGAUGGCGGAAUUCCAGGUGUAGCGGUGAAAUGCGUAGAUAUCCGGAGGAACACCAGUGGCGAAGGCGACCAUCUGGGCUAUAACUGACGCUGAGGCUCGAAAGCGUGGGGAGCAAACAGGAUUAGAUACCCCGGUAGUC
rnacentral:rRNA from 1 species